GUGCUCAAAUCAGUAACACAUAUACUAAAAUUUGAAUGAUACAGAGAAGAUUAGCAUGGCCCAUGCACAAGGAUGAUAGACAAAUUUGUGAAGAAGCAUUCCAUAAUUUU